GGCGGUGCCGCGGAGGAAGCGCAGCUGUCGGGUCGUCCUUCUACCUGCGGGCUCCUUAGGCCUGGUGUCCGGCCCAGGGUUCUCCUACUGCGCGAAGCGGCAAAACAAUGGUCCUAACCCGAGGGCGAGGCGACGCGGAGACCGAAAGCACUCCGCUGCGGGUGGUGGUCGAGGAGGUGUCUGUCGCCCGCACUUGCUAGGGAUCGGUAAAUACCAAGUGGCUGACUUACCGCUGCAGUCAGUGCAGCGAGCUACCAGAAAAUUAGAAGUUACGUAUGUGGCUGCAUUAUAUUUCUGUCGGCGGUAGACCUAACCUGAGAGGUCAGGGACCGGCAUUUCAGACGGGAGCGCAGUGCGGCUUUGGGGAGCAGCUUGACAGACGCGUGCCAGUUCUUGAUAUUUUCUGAUUAAAGUUUUCCGUGCCUCCUCACUUAAGAUAAGUAACAUUGAUUUAGUACUUGCUGUACGCGGGGUAUUGUGCUAGGCACUUUACGUGUAUUCUCUCAGUCGUAUGCCAACCAGCGCCUCAGUAAAGGCUACCCCCAGCCCUCAGAGCAGAGUGCGUGGCUCUCUCAGAUCCCUUGCAACACUGAGUUUUCUAUCCUGUCUUGUAAUAGCAAAGGCUUCCCACAGCCCUUGUCCCCGCCUUGGAACUUUUACCUCCUGCCUUUCUUCCCACGGAGCCCGUAGGGUAUUGCAAGAUACUGCUGGGCGGGUGAGACCUGUGUCUUCUGCUUCUACAGCUAACACAGUAAGCAUUUGUUAAACGGAUGACAACCAUGGGAGCUCUCCAGGGAUUCCCCUCUGUCACAGCCACAGAAUCUCCCUGAGGUGAUCGCAGUGGGUCCUUGGGGAUCCGCUGCUGAUGGAACCUCAGUAGACACUCAGGGCUACAAUGCUGCACAGCCUGAGGAGCCGUCCCGGCAUCCUGUACUUUCAUGACCUCAGUGAAUCUCCAGAGAUGUCCUGAUAAAGCCUCAGUGGAUCCUUAGGGACCCCUUCCUGGACAUAGCCUCAGGAAGCCUCCUGGGAUCCUUGCCUAGUGGGGCUCAGGAAGGCCCCAGGGAUCUGUUCCCAAUAUACAGCCCCAGGGCCUCCCCAGAGGUCUUCCUCCGUGAUCAGCUCCUGACAGCCUCAGGGAUGCCCUACCGACAGGGGAUUUUCCCCAGCUCAAUUUAGCCUCUUGCAAGAAUCAGUGAGUGGGGUGGCAGCAGAACUCAGAUAGUAGCGUUUGGAAAGGGAAGAUUGACAGCAGUCAGCGAGCGACUGAUUGGAUGUAAUUAUAACAUCUUAGGUUUGGUUGCUCCCCAUAACUUACCUAAUGCUUUCCUGUCUGCUGUCUCUUAGGGGAGGGAGUUAGUUACAGGGAGACUAAGAUUGACUUGAAGGCUUCAAGACUAUCUGAGCGUAGGAUUACUAGUACCACCAACGGAAACCACAAAGCAAGCAGUGAGCCUGUUUGCAGCCAGGUUUAUGGUUGGUUUAGGACAUGUUGGGUUUGAGGUCAGAUGUCAGGCCUCAGCCAAGCACUAGGUUAGAGGACAUAUUGGUCUCCAGGUGAGGAGACGGGGUUACACGGGAGGACAGGCCAGGGCGAAGUCCCAGGACCGGUGGGCAGGCAUAAGGUCAGCAUCAAGAGCAGUGUAAUCAAAAACCAAAGUCAAGUUAGAGAGAAUCUCCAGAAAUGGGUUCAGGCGGGGGCGUGUGGUAGAGAUGGAUGUGAGGGAGUGUCUGGAAGAAGGCCAGGCGUGAAAGGCAGAGUCCUGCAGAGGUAGAGUCGAGGAACGGGACCCAUGCAGGAGUCAAACAGGACGUGUGCGUGAGCACAGAGAGUGAAUGAGGGAGCCUUUAUUCACCUGAGCGGCAAACAUAAGAGGCUUCCUUUCGCUGAGAUGCAGGCUACUGUAAAAACCGAGGACAUACCAUUUCACACUUAACAAAAAAUUUAAAAAUCUCUCAGCGCCGAAAUUGAGGAGGACGUGGGUUUAUGAGCAGCCCAAAUCAGAGUACGCCGACUCACUGCUGGCGGGAGCACAGAUGCAUCCAAUAACUGGACAGCCAUCUAGCAAUGUCUCGUAGUUAAAGGUGCGCGCACCCUACAAGCCAGGUGUGCGCCCUAGAGCCACUCGCCCGUGUGCAGAGACAGGAACGUUCAUUGCAAUGUUGCCCCCCGGGGGAAGCUGAUCAAUUACACAUAGUUUUGCGGAGAAUGCUCUACGGUAGUAAAAAUGAAGACGUUAACUUACUUGUCAACAUGAAUGGAUUUCACAAGCAAUGUUGAGUGAAAAAAAGGUGAAUGUGAAUGCAUGUGGUAUGCUACCACUUCAUUCCCUUUUUUUAGAGUAAAAGAAUACUAAAAGCUAAAUUCAGGAGUGUGGUCGCCUCUGGGUGUUGGUGGGGACUUCGAUCGGUGAGGAAUUUACAGAGAGUUCUCUUGUUUUACGCUUUAUUUCUUAAGGCAGAUGGACUGUGUUCAGGUGUUUGUUUUAUUCUUUAUGACUUUUUGCAUGUAUAAAUUGUUUCAUAAUGCAUGAAAAUGUAAUUACAGAACUCUCACUCUGUUAUGCACUGAGCUACCUCAAACACUUUUUGGAAAAGGCAAGCAUAAAUGCUGCAGCGACGAAGGAACAGUGCUGAGGCUUGGAGGAGUCAGGUCCACUGAUAGGUUUGUAGCUAUUGUUUCAGGUUGAGUAGCUAUGACGGGACAAAAUGCAACCGGGAACGUCAUUGCCGAAGCCAGGAGACCGAAGCCAGGAGACGAGAAAACUGGGUGCUGCCUAACAGGUGGCUUACUGGGGAGAAGUUAAACUGGGAGGGGCUACAGUGGAACGUGGGGCCAACCCCGAAGGAUGGCCCCCAGAGAUGUCUUGAGAUGAGCCGGUGGAGCCUUUGCACAGCUGCAUGGACGAGUCACUGACUGUGGGCUGCCCCCUGGGAAGGUGCAUAACCUUGGGAGAGGAAGUGCCUUCUGCCGAGGUCAGGUCCCAAGGAGGGACUUAUCUCCAAGCCAUCAGCAGCCAACGCUGCCAGCAGCUGAGGGGAAUGAGAGCCUUCGUCUUCUAGGACGAGUCUGGGUGGCGUGACAUAAGCGCGUGUGCGGCAGCCCGCCCUCUGCCCCACGCAGGUCGGCUGGCUGCAUAAGUUCACCAUCUAGGGAGACGUCUCCAGGAUCCUGGUUGGUCCCUCUUCUGGAUAGACUUCCAAGAGGAAGGUUGACCACGUGAUCCUGGAGCCACAACAGUCACCGUCCCUCCAUCACCUGUUGUAGACGCCCUCCUGCCGCCACAACCCUAACCCUGCCCCUACCUGGUAGCACCUCUGCUGUUCUAGGUCACUUACCUGUUGGAGUGAUCCAGACUCUCAUCCUAGAGGCCUCGGAGCCGCUGGUCACUGAUGGUGCCCUCCUCAGGCCGUGGCUGCUCUCCUUGCCCACGUGCCAUUAAUGCUGGUCAGAGAGACACCCCAGUGGCUCAUGUAGGUGCCACACGUGACCUUGCCGCCCUCACCACACAGGAGCACCCCUGCCUCCCCCAUGGUGAGGAGGAGACACCUCUCCUUGCUUGCUAGUUUCCUGGCACAAGGAGCCCCAAGUGAGUAAGUUCAGCGAGACUCUCGCUGUGUCCUUUUCUGAAAGCGUUCCCCCUCUGGGGUUCGGGACCUCUAGAAGAGGCCAGAAUUGUGAGAACAGGAAACACACACUCCCCUGAGAGCGAUGACAGUCGGGGCCCCCUGCUCCCACCCCUGGCUCCUGCACCCAUGCCUUCACUUGGAGGGGCCACGGCACCAUGCAGGGCGGACACCACGUCUUGAAGGGCAGCGCUCCAGGUUUCAUCGCUCUGUCAGGGCGCAGCCUCCGGGGGGGCGCAGAACCUGGAGUAGGACCGGUGGGUCCCGUGGCCGUGUAGGAGCUCACUACCACCACCUCCUCGGCUGUAAAGCGGCACCCCUGGGCCAGUGCAAGGCUGUGCACAGUUUCCUGUGGAUGCAUCGAACAGUCGGAGACCCACACACGGGAUACAUGUGUUUCAAUCAUACACAAACGGAGACCAGACCAGAAAAUUCCCUGAGCAGACCAAACCAGUUCAGUCACACAAGCAAAGCUCAAUUUAGCUUAUUUUCCAAGACAAGCGAGGCGAACGUGACCUGGGUCACUUCUUGUUUACUCUUCUGCGAAUCAUAAGCGAAACUUAAAUUGUUCCCCAAAAUUGAUAUGAGGAAACCACUAACAAGUUCCUUUCCUUUAACAAAAUUGUAACUAAUCACUGUGGAGAAUAAACACUCGCUGCCUCCAGACUAUGUAAGCUGCUUUUUAACAUACUGUGAG